CAACUCCGGCACGGCGGCUCCGCCGUGCUCCGGCGACGGCACCGCCGCUGGCGGCGGCGAUUCGCCUCGGGUUGGCUGUUUUUGGCCGUUUCUGGCCGAAUUCGGCCACACUCGCAUCGGUCCCUGCGAGAAAACAACCCUAGGGCCCUCGGGGGGCCAAAAAAUCACGGAAAAACGGAGCUUACCGGCGGCGGCGCUCUCGGGUGCGGCGGCUCUCCGGCGAGGUUUGUGUUUUGGUGAUUCGGCUCCGGUCAACCUGUAGAGAAAAGAAUGGUGAUCACGGUGAUAUAAAAAUUACAUCAAACGGAGGCCGGGAAGGGCCUCAUCGGAGGCAAAAACCGAGAAGGGGCGCGGCGGCGCUGCUGGGCUUCGGCCGUGUAUUCCGGCCGUUUGGCCGGGAUUUUGGCUCCGAUUUGGCCACAGGAGGAAUCAGCAUGGAAAAACGAGUCGGGGGUACGAAAUUUACCUCGAUCGGCGGUCGAAAAUUUCCCCGGUGCGGCGGCGGGUGGCGGCGUCCGGCUUCUAGUUCGUCUUCUCCGGCGAGCGGCAGGCGGCUAGGGUUUGUGGUCUGGUGUGGGGGUUCUAUUUAUAACCCUUUGCCUUUGAUCUCAGCCGUCCAUUUUGUUUUAAUCUGGGCCGUCCGUUUUUGAUUGAAUC
rnacentral:lncRNA from 1 species